GAGGUGCAUGCCUGAGUCCGUGCAGGCGUGAAAAGGCGUUGCUGAUGUAAUUUGCUUGGGCCAUAUGGGAAACAUUGUCAAAUCCUGAUUGUGCGUCACGCCGCGCAGGACAGCGCUGGGCGUCGCGUCCACUUGUCACCUCUGGCGGUCGCCAUCUGUGAAGUCGCCAUUGGCCAGCCAUAGAAGCAACUUGUGGCAGUGUUGGCGUCUCGUGUGACCGAAGUUGUCGUCUGGGGCGUCUCCAGGCAGGAGUCAGUGAAAUCUGAAAGAAAGGCGCCAAGAGUGUGACGGGCGCUGGCAUACAUACCAGGCUAGUCAGGAUUGACCAGCCAAUCAGCAGAAUAUCUGCAGCCGUGCAUCUGCGGGACAUGGAUGUGCGUCCUCCUGCAGUGCAGCUGUGAGAGAUAGGAUUUCUGGGCACGCUGCGUCGCAUUGCCAUCUCGUCGUCAUCAAGAAUGCGGAUGAGCUCCCUCUGGGUCUGCUCCAGGCCAAUGUUCAGCAAUGUUUCUUGGCUAGUGAUGGCUUCGUGUUGCUCUACGAUGAUUGGCUGCUGUGUAACCGAUUGUGCUGGCUGCUCAUCUGCGUCUUGUGAAGGCUGCGAGUCAGUUAGUGAAAAUGUUUCGACAGGUGGCGGCGGCUCUUGGCCUGGUCGAACAUAAUCUGGAAUGACGAUUCGUUGGAUAGCUGGCGGUUGAUCCCAGAUGAGGGCUAUAGCAACGUCUCUGGCGGCUGAUUGAAUCUUCUAGGAGGCGGGGGAUUUGUAUGCGUUGCUGGCGUUGGUAUCGUUGCCUGUGGAAUCUGCUCCCGUCUUUCGAUGACCUGAACUGGAUUCCUUUGCAUUGAUGGCGUUGGUAUCGUUGCCUCUGUAGACCGUUCCUGUCCCUCAAUUACAUAAUCAGGAACAAUUAUACGUUGUAUUGCCGCUGGCUGGCCCUGAAUAAUAGCCACCGCCGCCUCUCUUGAGGAGAACGGGAUCUCAGUAGCUGACGACGUCUGGUUUCCUCAGCCAAUCUUUCGGUCUCUUGCCUGUCCAGCUCUUCCUCUUCUAAGCGCAGUAGCGUGGGAAGAAACGGAAUGAUUUGUUGCCUUUGCUCCGGCCUAUCAUCGCGCUGGAUAUUGUCAUUCUGAACUGGUGAAUUUUGCGGGCCUUGGAUUUGAGCACGAGCUAGUGAUUGCAGCGGCAAAAUAUGUUGUUGUAAUUGCUGUAAAUAACGUGGCCUCCGUAGACGCUGCGGCUCAUAAGGCUGGAUUAUUAAAUUUCGUGCCUCGGGGUUUGCGUGAACUGAGCAAGAAUUGGCAAAGCGGGCGCUGGCUAGCUGAAAGACUUCAUCAAUUGAUUUUAGAUCGCUCUGUAAUCGAUUGACAUGAGUGUCACAUGUGAGGGCUCCC